rnacentral:lncRNA from 1 species
CUCAGAGACAGCAGUAACACCUUCUGGCUAUAGUCUAUUUUCAUCUUUCUCAUCCUAGUGUUAUCAAGAGAAAAACAGUCUUAGAUGCAACAUAAAAAUUUCAGAGACAGAAGAAAUCUUCCUUUGAGGGCAGUGAUACACUUAUGUGAGAUUUUGAAAAGUGAAAAAUCAAAGGUGGAAUUGACCAGUAGAUGUAAAAGUACAACAAAUAAACAAAAAUGGCAAUGUUGAAAGUGAAACUGAAAUUCAACAGAAAUAAAAGAAAUAGCAGACUGGGGGGAUAUUGACUUUGACACCAUGAUGCCAGAGGAACUUAGUGAUGGCAAACUUAUCAAUAUAAAAUGAGGAUAUUGGUUGUCAACUAGGUUGUGUGGUGGUCCUUGAUCUUGUCCAUCAAGUCCUUUUUCCCAAAGGAUAACUGAAGAAGAUCACAUACAUUCCAACUUAUUGAGUCUGAUAGGUAUUCAUCUGAUGAGCUCCUCUUCAACUGAGGAUUGAAAUGCUGUUUUUCUUCCCUGGUACAAUGUUAAAGCUUUAAACUCUUGUCAAUGAUGUGAUGUUUCAUCUGCAAUGAUCUACACUAGAAAAAUAAAAAUGUAGUUACUGACAAAAAAGCAGGAACUACUGCUCUAAGGAAAAAAGGACAGCUACAUGAGGACCACACAACUCCUGGAAGAGGUUUCCCUGGCAACACAACUUUUCCAUUCAUCUGGUUGCAGUGUUUUCAUCCAGUAGCCUGUCACCUCACUCAAAAGCAGGGCAAUGGAGAGAAAGAAACUUACCAAGUUUUUUCUUUUAACUAGAGAGUAGCCUACUUAUUGGGCCCUGCAAUUAAUUUCAGUACUCCAGGCAGAUUUAUAAAGGAAGCUGCUGGAAGGAAUUCAUUCCCUUUUUGCUGUUCUGCCUUCCACCUUCCACUGUGUGAGGACACUGCAAGAAAGCCCUCAUCAGACACCAACUGCCAGCACCUAGAUCUUGGAAUUCUCAGCCUCCAGAACUCUUUUACCAAUUUUGAGUAGAUUUUAAGGAAGAGAGAAACAGGCCACUUCAGAUUGGAAGCCCACACCUACUCCAGGCUGUUUUCCAACUGGAAAAUGAUGUGAUGGGCUCAGUGAGCCAGCCAGGAGUGUCACAGCUCUUUCAUUCAUGCCACCUGCAGCUUGGUGAGUUCCAGGUUCUUGUCCCGUGACCAAGAGGAAUAAGAUGCAUGGACACCAGAAAGUGUUCUUGGAAAAAGCACCAUUCAAUUGGUUAAAAAGCAUCAUCUAGAAGGAACCAAUUGCGAGACAGUGAGGAAGACAGAGAUAGAAGUUCUCACUCCAGUAAUUAACUCCAUCUGGAAGCAUCAGCUUGGUUUUCAGGCUUUAAACAGUUUUUGGUUUGAAGGUUGGGUAUCAAUGGAGACCUGCUUCUGUCUGCCUAGGAAUUUGUCUGUCUCCUGUCACUAUCACAAUAAGACAGGCUUGAUCUUGGCUAGGGUACACUUUUCCCUGGACAGGGUUUGAGUGGGAACUCGAUUGGGAAUGUUGAUCUUUGCAUGCCAUGCCCCCAACAAUUCUUAAUGACAUCUGCCUUUACCAUUUCUCCUGCUGUUAAGUAGUUAUAUCUCUUCACAAACCACGGGCCUCAGCUACUGGGGCCAGCAGUGAGCACUUGACCCCAAACAACUGAUCCCCAGGCUGAUGAGACCAUCUAAUGACCACUGUGGGUUCUGGUUCAAAAUGAUGAGUUUAAAAAAUAGUUUUCUCUCUUAGAAUUUUGAAUGGGAGUAGGAAUAGUGGCAGUAUGCUGAAAUUGAAGCACUACACUUGUUCAAGGUAAGCAAUAAGGGUAAAAAGGAGAGGUUGUGUUGCCUAGUGCAGCAAGGAGAAGGAAGUCAGUCCACAAAGAAAAGCAAUGUAAAAGAGACAUCCUCCUAAUUAAGUUUAAAAAAAAAAAUUUCCUCUAAGACCAUUUAGGUGACUUUCUAUGUUUCACCAUUUAUAUCCAAGUCAAAGAAACACUGUUGAAAUGUCCCCGAUGAAUUUUGUUUUUCUAUUUUUUAUUGCUUACGAAUGCAUGUUUGUGAUAGACACAUUAUCUUUAUAUGUUAACAUCAAGUUUUCUUCCAACUCAGUUAUCCUUUCUUUCUCAACAAAACUUGGCAUUAUUUUAUCACAGGUUUAAUUUACGAGAUAACUUGAAGGGCAACCGAGUUUCUCUUAUUUCCAUGUUCCUCAGUGACUGUAUCUCAUAGUCUUCUCUCAAUUUGCCUAUAGGAUAUAUUUAAAGUUACCAAUGCUUCAAUAUUUAUUUGUUCAUUUGUAACUUAGCAUUUACUUUAAGUACAGUUUGAUACAAUACUUAACUUUAAACCAGAAAUGCAUUUAAACAAUCUAUAUUUUGAAAAUAAUUUUAUCUCCUUUUUUUUUUUUGGAGACAGAGUCUUGGUCUGUUACCCAGGCUGGAGUACAGUGGUGCAAUCUCAGCUCACUGCAACCUUUACCUCCUGGGUUCAAGCGAUUCUCCUGCCUCAGCCUCCCAAGUAGUUGGGAUUACAGGCAUAUGUCUGCUAAUUUUUUUUUUUAUUUUAUUUUAGUAGAGAUGGUGUUUAGUAGAGAUGGCCUCCUGGCCUCAAGUGAUGCACCCCCUUUAGCCUCCCAAAGUGCUGGGAUUACAGGCAUGAGCAACUUCACCUGGCUUCAUAAUUUAUUCUUAUGUAAUUUAUACGUUUUGUACUUACAUGAACUUUUAAACUUUUAACAACAUUUCAAUAUUUAAUAUGCUAUGAAAGUUAAAAUUUAAAAAAAUCAAAAUGCAUCCAUGCAGUUUAUCAGAUGUAAAUAUAGGAACUUGAAAAUGCAGUUAAUGCUUUUACAGAUUAUAAUCAAUUGUUGUUUUACCAGUUACUUUUAAUUUUAUAAAAUUUAAAGCUCAUGAAAGCCUAACAACAUAUAUUUGUCACAAAGUAGUUUUACUUAUUUUUCAAAGAAAUAGUAUGAAUGCAGAAAUGGAUUUCACUACAAAAGUGUCAAAUUUUUUUUCAGUAAUUGGAGUCAUAAGUCAUUUUUAGCCAUCUUACUCCCUUUGAAUUGGUGCUUUUAUGUUGCCUAAGAAUAUGUUGAUACAUUUUCAUUGCCUAAAUUUGGUUGAAGAAUGCUGCGUGUAUAAAGACAAGCUACCACCUGAAAUUCUCAGGUCAACAUUUAAAUUUAAAGGUCUUUUUUAUUGUUGGCUGUUGUGCUAAAUCUUAACCAUAUAGCAAAUCUGAAGUAGCAAUCCAAUCUAUAUUAAAAAACUAAAUAACACUUGAUAUGAUUUGGCUGUGUUGCCACCCAAAUCUUAUCUUGAAUUCUCAUGUAUUGUAGGAGGGACCCAGUGGGAGGUAAUUAAAUCAUGGGGGCAGGUUUUUCCCAUGCUGUUCUCAUGACGAAGUCUCACAAGAUCUGUGGGUUUUAAAAAUGGGACUUUCCCCUCACAAGCUCUCUCUCUGUUUGCCUGCUGCCAUCCAUGUAAGACGUGACUUGCUCUGCCUUGCCUUCCAUCAUGAUUGUGAGGACUCUCCAGCCACAUGCAACUGUAAGUCCAUUAAACCUCUUUCUUUUGUAUAUUUCCCAGUCUGGAGUAUGUGUUUAUGAGCAGUAUGAAAAUGGACUAAUACAAUACCUUAGUACAUGGAUUAAGUUAAAAUUAAAAAGAAAUUUUCAGAUCUUAUUUUCUAGAUAUUUAAAUAUUUAGUAUAAAAAGUUAUUGUAAUGUAAUUGAUAACUAAGGUUUAUCUUCCAGAAUGCCAAUAGAACCCUCAAUAAGAUGACAUGUUUAUAAUUUCCUUCCUGUCAUCAAUGUUAUAUAUCUCCUUUUAGCAUCUACAGGU